GAUGAAGAACGUAGCGAAAUGCGAUACUUGGUGUGAAUUGCAGAAUCCCGCGAAUCAUCGAGUUUUUGAACGCAAGUUGCGCCCGAAGCCAUUCGGCCGAGGGCACGUCUGCCUGGGUGUCACGCAUCGUUGCCCCCCCAAACUCCGGUUCGGGCGGGGCGGAAGUUGGCCUCCCGUGCGUGCCUGCGCGCGCGGUUAGCCCAAAAGCGAGUCCUCGGCGACGAGCGCCACGACAAUCGGUGGUUUUUUUACCCUCGUUCCUCGUCGUGCGUGCCCCGUCGCCCGAACGCGCUCUUGCGACCCUUACGCGUCGCCUCGGUGGCGCUCCCAACGCGACCCCAGGUCAGGCGGGACUACCCGCUGAGUUUAAGCAUAUCAAUAAGCGGAGGA
rnacentral:misc_RNA from 1 species